GACUUUCAAUGGAUCUCAGCACAGCUUCAUUUCUAAUUCAAGUCUCAUUUACUCAUUUGUGAAGAACAACCAAUAGCCAAGUCUUCAGAUUAUUAACAUUGCUAAUUUUUCGUCAAAAGAAGUAGCUAAAUGAGACUUACCAGAAAAUAAAUGAACUGAAAGUCCAUGUUAAGUCUCACUGGAUGGGUAGGCUUGGGUCUUCUAAGAUGUCACAUGGAACAGAAAUGCUUUGCUUCGCAGGGCUCAAGAGAAAUGUGCUCAGACCAGAAAGAAGGCUUUGUGAAGGAGGGAAUGUCAACAGGGAGGGAGAUAUCACAGCAUCUGCUUCUCCGGGCCAGUUGUGCAGUGGUUUCUUCUUUCCUGAGUCAGCUGUUUUUGUGCGGUGGUUCUCUGCCCUUUUCCUAUUCCAAUACAUUCCCACUCAUGACAGUGGAGUCUCCAGGGGUGGGCAGGCGUAGGGAAUAAAAAUCCUUAUGUUCACCUAGGGGCGAGUAUUGGAGUCAGGAUGGGUUACAGUUUAGAAAUGUCCUCGCCUCCCAUUCUGAUAGGCUCUAGAGGGAUAUGUGACCUCCUCCCUACAAUGCUGGUAACAUAAGACUAACACAGGAAAUAAGCAAAAAACCAAAACCAAAACCAAA